UGAAACUGACUACCACAUGCCAAGGGCAGAGCUGCUCCAUUUUGGGGGCAAUCUACAACAGGAUCCAUAUUGUGGGAGAAGCUAAAACCACCAUCAGUUUGUGCUCUGCCAGCAGCAAGAGCAGCACUCACCCGUGCACCCACUGAGUUUUGGAGCCGCCCCAACGCAGCAGUGGAAACCUACUAACUCCCCGAUGCCUUUGGCCCAGUAGCCCAGUCAUCCAGGUCGGGUGGAGUCAGAGACCGGCACCCUCACAACCAAGAUGCUGGGGCCCCUGCCAGAAAUUAACCAGUUCCUACAGAAUUAAUGGUAUGCAAAUACCUAAGAACAUCCAAGGAUGUUACUUACUCACAAAAGAGUAUUUUGCAAUAUCUACUUAUGUUUUGACCCAAGCAAUGCUGUGUUUUAGAUAUCACCUUUUCUUAAACGGCAAAUGCAACAUUUUCCCUCUGUGAGAACAGUUGUAUUGCUGUGGAGACCAUGCAUGCACAGCACAGGCAAAGGGUGACCUCCUGGCCCAAUGGGAGUUUCCCCAUUGACUUCAACAGCGUGCGGAUUUCACCCCAAAUCUUUGACUUUACUGGGGAAAAAAAUGGUGAUCAUGUUUUUAUUUUCCUAUGUGCCUAUUAUAAAUAAAGGUUCAGCUCCUUGUAACUGAAA